UUGUGAAAAUUACUUGAGCACAUACAGUAAGCCCAGUGUCUGGCUGUCUGGUCUCUGAGAGCCAGUGUGCAUGGCAUUAGUGGUCCUCCUGCAGUGGUGGUAUUGAUGUUGACAUCAAGAAUUUCUUCUGCAGAUUGAGGUGGUACCUUCUGCCUCUGCCUUGAUCAUCAAAGCCCUCAAGGAACCACCAAGAGAUAGAAAGAAACAAAAAAACAUUAAACACAAUGGAAAUUUCACAUUUGAUGAGAUCAUCAAUAUUGCCCGACAGAUGCGGCACAGAUCUUUAGCCAGAGAACUCUCUGGAACCAUUAAAGAGAUCCUGGGGACUGCCCAGUCUGUGGGCUGCAAUGUUGAUGGCCGCCACCCUCGUGACAUCAUAGAUGACAUCAACAGU